rfam:Ciona savignyi cont_26226, whole genome shotgun sequence.
GCCUCAAUGGCGCAGUAGGCAGCGCGUGAGUCUCAUAAUCUCAAGGUCGUAAGUUCGAUCCUCACUCGGGGCU